UACGGAGGGUGCAAGCGUUAUCCGGAUUCACUGGGUUUAAAGGGUGCGUAGGUGGGCAGGUAAGUCAGUGGUGAAAUCUCCGAGCUUAACUCGGAACUGCCGUUGAUACUAUUUGUCUUGAAUAUUGUGGAGGUAAGCGGAAUAUGUCAUGUAGCGGUGAAAUGCUUAGAUAUGACAUAGAACAUCAAUUGCGAAGGCAGCUCGCUACACGGUUAUUGACACUGAGGCACGAAAGCGUGGGGAUCAAACAGG
rnacentral:rRNA from 1 species